rnacentral:rRNA from 1 species
GUGGGGAAUAUUGGACAAUGGGCGAAAGCCUGAUCCAGCCAUGCCGCGUGUGUGAAGAAGGUCUUCGGAUUGUAAAGCACUUUAAGUUGGGAGGAAGGGUAGUAACCUAAUACGUUGCUACUUUGACGUUACCGACAGAAUAAGCACCGGCUAACUUCGUGCCAGCAGCCGCGGUAAUACGAAGGGUGCAAGCGUUAAUCGGAAUUACUGGGCGUAAAGCGCGCGUAGGUGGUUCAGUAAGUUGGAAGUGAAAUCCCCGGGCUCAACCUGGGAACUGCGUUCAAAACUGCUGAGCUAGAGUACGGUAGAGGGUGGUGGAAUUUCCUGUGUAGCGGUGAAAUGCGUAGAUAUAGGAAGGAACACCAGUGGCGAAGGCGACCACCUGGACUGAUACUGACACUGAGGUGCGAAAGCGUGGGGAGCAAACAGGAUUAGAAACCCGGGUAGUCC